rnacentral:misc_RNA from 1 species
GCAAACUUGGUCAUUUAGAGGAAGUAAAAGUCGUAACAAGGUAACCGUAGGUGAACCUGCGGUUGGAUCAUUACAGAGACAAGGGUUGUGGCAGAUUGUAGUAUCUGUCUCACACAUCCUUCAACACCUGUGCACUGUGACUGUAUUUGGCAAGUCAGGGCACUCAUGCUAGUUUAGCAGAUGCCCGAGUUUCAUUUUGGCCCAACUAGGGAUGGUUGGGGUCAAAUUUGAAAGCUUGUCGUCUUUUUCGCCACUAUUGAUUUGAUUGUGAGCCUGAGCAACGCAAAAAUACAGAAUGCAUGAAACAACUUUUGGCAACGGAUCUCUUGGCUCUCGCAUCGAUGAAGAACGCAGC